GAUUGCACCAUUGCACUCCAGCCUGGGUGACAGAGCAAGACCCUAUCUCCCCAAAAUACAAAUCUAAAAAAAGAUUAGCUAUAAUAUGUUCAGUGACUAGCAUCUAAUAGGUGCUUAUGAUUCAGCAUCAAAUAAAUGGGACAGCAAAAGGCAAGUGUGUGUGUGUGUGUGUGUGUGUACAUGCAUACAUGUCUGACACCGUCUGCUAAGACAGUUUUGGAGACUACUGGGAGCAUGUACCAGUACAUGGUGGAGUAACUAGAGUGAUUAUCCACUGAAUGAUGAAAGACCAAGAACAGAAAAGUGAAAAUGACUUGCCCCAGUUUGCACAGGAGGUCAUUGCAUAGAUGGGUCUAGAACCAAGGUUUUCCAGAAAGCAUUUUCCUUCACUUCCCAAAACUUUUGCUGUCAGGAUGAUAUUUCUACAGACAGCAAGGGAUGUCCAUUUAUACCCUUGGUUUAGCCAGAGAAUAGUGGAGAUGAUCAAGCCCACAGGCUCACACAAAUCCAACUCUUCAGACUGUCAUUAGCUUCAUGCUCCAUGACCAUGGGUUGACACAAUCACCAACAGAGAAAGGGAGGCUAGAUAGCCCUUCUUAACUCUCCACUGAUCAGCGGGCAUCCCUCUGCAUGGAUGGUUUCUCUGAGUGUGGCUUUUGCCAUAAAAAUGAGAUAAGAGGAACAGAGGAAAUGCUGUUUACUGCCAACUCUCUGCUCCUGUGUACAGAUCUUCAGCUGAGUCAAUGUUUAACCCCUGUCUGGAGUCAAUGUUUAAUCCCAGGCCAGCCAGCCCUGCAAUCCAGCAUUCCUCAUCAAGCCUAAAAUAUCGAGUUAUUUUAGAAUCAACCACUGAAGAAUAAAAUUGUGACUGAAUCUGCCAAAGCUAAACAGACUCUCCCCACUUUUAAAGGAUACUGGCUGUUUGGAAUUAUUCAUGCCAUCUGUUCCCAUUAGCAGAUAGUGAUAUGGAGUUUGCUGACCCUAGCUGUCAUUCAGUGGCAUGAGCACAGGGUUUAUUCUUCCUGUUUCAGUUCUUCCUUUUGGGCUGGGGGAGAAGAGCACUGGGUGGGGACCACUGCCCUUGUUACCCAGUUGGCAAUGCUGCUGGCUGGUAACAUGCUUCCUUGUGAGGCUGCUACUUGGAAUCCCACUAGGGGAGCUGGAACUUGAAUGUUCUGGUUGGCUGCAUUUAGGCAUGUUUUCUUGGAGUUUCUGAGCCCAGAUUUAUGUCUAAAGGCCUAAACCUUUCCCCAGGUGAGUCUCCCUGUUAAGGAGCAGGUGGGAGAGGGAAGAGUUCAUUAGAAAGACCCUGACUAUUGGUGAUUCUCUAGGGGCUUCCUAGGGUCCUUCCUAAGGAGCUCAGGGCACAUGGCAUCUACAAAUGGGCAGCAUUAUGUCAAUGCUAAGAACAACCUUAGUCAGGGAAGUCAAAGGAUGGCAAGCUGGGUGGUGGGGUGCAGGGACGUGAAGAGGGAAGGAAGGCUGCUGUCAGAUUAGCAGCUCUAGUCUUCAGUUGGUGUUGGAGAGGUGACUCACUGGCCAAAUGUAUGCAUGCAAUGCUCAAAUCUUUUCACUUUCCUCUGUGAACAUACUGAAGCCCCUCCUUCUCCUUGACCACCUGCUUCCCUGUGUCACUGCCCUGAUGUCCCAUCCUUCACCUGUUUUCCUAGCUCAGGUGCCUCCCAGUCAGAGAGUGAAAACAACAUUUCUUCUGGGGCUCCCAGCGUGGGGAGGUUGUUGGUGCCCUUUCUCGUUUUGGCUGGUGAAGGAGUGAAGGUGGAAACUGUGGGCUAGCAUGGAUAUAGGAGAAAGACCAAGUCCCUCAUGUUGAGAGUGAGAUGAAGUGACCCACUAAAGCUCACCUGGUCCAGGCCCCUGCCUGUUUCACGUGAUUUUGAACUCUGGAUACGUGGCAAGUGGUGAUAAGGACAACAAUCCAACUAGGUAAUGAGUAAGAGAGAAUGACAGCCUGGAAUUAGAGUGUAAUCUGUUUUUACCACAUGUGUAUGCUAACAGUCAGUGAUGAUUAUGACAGUGGUCAUGAUUCCAGCAAUUCACAGGUCCCCAUACCUAAAGAGAUUUACAGACCUCAUCCAAUGCACUUCUUGCUUCCUGAUAACUAAUGCCUGAUUCAUUCCAGAGAUGAACGAAUUUAAAAGAAUGUGCUAUUUAAAAGAAAAAAAGGAAUUUUAAAAUCUUUUCUAGCUUUUAUUUCUUUCUGAGGAGUUUCCUCCUGUUAAAUGCUUAUUUUUUUACCUUCAUUUUAAAAAUAAAUAACUGUAGAACAGCAUAUAAUUCUCUGAGCCACACAGCAAAAGAAAGUAAGAGGAAGCAAAAAGAAGUAAGCUCUAUGGUCGUGGGCAGUAAGAGACUCAUGAUAAAGAAGUUGGGUUUGAGGAUAUGAAAGCUGGAAACAGUUGGUUCAGGCUGCACCAGAACACACACAUUACAUCCAUGCCAAUUGCUGUCUUUUCAAACUCCAGGAAGCCUGGCGUGGGUGAAGCUGAGUCACCUGGAGGCUGUGCCGAAGCCUGGUUGUGCUAUAAGUUUUAUGUGCAGCAGACUCUAUCUUUCUCUCAGAAGUGGGUUGGGACAGCCCUUGGUAUCCAACCCUCCCUACAUUCACCUCCUUUGAGAAGAAAAAAAUAAGACCCAGAAGGUGAAGACUGAAGUUCAGAAAGUUAAAGUGAUAUCGCCAGGGUUCCUGAUUGGUAAGUGAUGGAGGCUGAAUUUGAGCCACAUCUAUAUGCUCCAUCAUCACUCUCCUGGGGAAAAUGGCCUAGAUGUAUUCUAUCUGCAUUCCUGCUUAGAUUCUGCACGACUUCUCCUGUCCAUUCCCUCGGCCCCCUCUCAUCUAGUCCAUGAGAUUACAGUUUUGCACACUGACAAGAGGGUCCUUCUUAGCCUACACAUACAACCAGGCAUCAAAGGAUGGAAGGGUUCAUCUCACACACUCACAGACCAUGUAGACUCUUCAAUCUACACCUCCAGCUAGAACUCAGAACAUUGAUGGGGACCUGCUCUCCAACCUUUCACCUCCCCUUUCUCCAUGAAAUAAACGUCAACAUUCACUCACCAGCCCACCCCCAGCCUACAAGGUGGCCCCUGCCAGAUCACGCUUCCCACUGUGGAAGAAGGCACAUAUGAGUGAGUGGGCUCAUCCUUUGACCUCUGUGUGAGAUGGCCUAUCCCACGGAGUCAGAGUGCAGAGUUCCCAGGGUAGCACAGGUGUGGUAAUUCAGAAGAGCAGCUGUCAAUGCAUCUGAGGGCACAGACCCCCCUCCCAUGCCAGGCUGGGAGAGGCCACUCCUGUAUGUGGCAGGCGGCUUGUGCCCAGUGGCAUCAAGGCUAUGGCAGGGUAUAGCAGAGAUCUAAGGCCAAGUGGAAGUGGAGCUGUUGCUUUGGUUUUGAAAACCAAAUGAAUGGCUUUUACAAACCUCCACCCACAAUUCUGUGAAAAGAGAUAAGAAUAACUCUGACCCUACUCUUACCUCCCUCUUCAUCAAUUCAUACUGAAUGAAGAGCAACCCUAUGUGAAUACAAGAGGAUAGAUACAAUGACCUCAGCUGGGUCUAGCACCACUUUCAGGGAGGCGGAUGUCCUCACUGGGCCCUCUUGCAUCUCUUCAAAAUGAGAAUGACCAAGUUUGGAUUUAUCAUUCUGUUCUUGAAUCCCAAAGACUAUCCUUAGAGCAAAAUAUACUCUUUGAAGGAUGAGGAUGUGGAGAAGCACGGUAUCUUUAAAUAACAAGGGAAGGGAAACUCAAAUUA